rnacentral:rRNA from 1 species
AAUCAACGCUGGCGGCGUGCCUAACACAUGCAAGUCGAACGAGAAGGUGACUUCGGUCACUGGAUAGUGGCGUCCGGGUGAGUAACACGUAGGUAAUCUACCUUCGGGUGGGGAAUAACGUCUCGAAAGAGACGCUAAUACCGCAUAAUGCAGCGGCACCUAAUGGUGAUUAGUUGUUAAAGCGGGGGAGUCUUCGGACCUCGCGCCUGAAGAGGAGCCUGCGGCAGAUUAGCUAGUUGGUGAGGUAAUGGCUCACCAAGGCUUCGAUCUGUAGCUGGUCUGAGAGGACGGCCAGCCACACUGGCACUGACACACGGGCCAGACUCCUACGGGAGGCAGCAGUGGGGAAUUUUGGGCAAUGGGCGAAAGCCUGACCCAGCAACGCCGCGUGAAGGAGGAAAUCCUUCGGGAUGUAAACUUCAUAAGUAAGGGAAGAAAGCUGCGGGUUGAAUAAUCCGCAGUCCGACGUACCUUACGUAAGCCAC